rnacentral:RNase_P_RNA from 1 species
GGGGCCGGCCAGGCAGUCGCGGGCGCCGGAGAGACAACCGGCGUUCGAGGAAAGUCCGGACACCGCAGGGCGGGGUGGUCGGGAAAUCCGACCCGGGGAAACCCGCGGGAAAGUGCCACAGAAACAAACCGCCAACCCGGCGGGCCUCUCGAGAGCCCGUCGGCGGCAAGGGUGAAAAGGUGCGGUAAGAGCGCACCGGCGGCGUGGUGACGCGCCGGCCAGGCAAACCCCACCCGGUGCAAGGCCAAGCAGGGACGUUGACGCUGCCCGCCGAGUCCCAGGUAGGCCGCAGGGCCGAUGGGCCCGCCGCCGCUUGUCGGGGUGCCCCGAGCCGGGUCACACCGCUGGGGCGGCAGAUGGAUGACUGUCCACGACAGGAUCCGGCUUACCGGCCGGCUUACGGA